rnacentral:rRNA from 1 species
AGUGAACGCUGGCGGUAGGCCUAACACAUGCAAGUCGAACGGCAGCACAGUAAGAGCUUGCUCUUACGGGUGGCGAGUGGCGGACGGGUGAGGAAUACAUCGGAAUCUACUUUUUCGUGGGGGAUAACGUAGGGAAACUUACGCUACUACCGCAUACGACCUACGGGUUAAAGCAGGGGAUCUUCGGACCUUGCCCGAUUGAAUGAGCCGAUGUCGGAUUAGCUAGUUGGCGGGGUAAAGGCCCACCAAGGCGACGAUCCGUAGCUGGUCUGAGAGGAUGAUCAGCCACACUGGAACUGAGACACGGUCCAGACUCCUACGGGAGGCAGCAGUGGGGAAUAUUGGACAAUGGGCGCAAGCCUGAUCCAGCCAUACCGCGUGGGUGAAGAAGGCCUUCGGGUUGUAAAGCCCUUUUGUUGGGAAAGAAAAGCAGCAGGUUAAUACCCCGCUGUUCUGACGGUACCCAAAGAAUAAGCACCGGCUAACUUCGUG